rnacentral:rRNA from 1 species
GCGGUGGAGCAUGUGGUUUAAUUCGAAGCAACGCGAAGAACCUUACCAGGCCUUGACAUGCAGAGAACUUUCCAGAGAUGGAUUGGUGCCUUCGGGAACUCUGACACAGGUGCUGCAUGGCUGUCGUCAGCUCGUGUCGUGAGAUGUUGGGUUAAGUCCCGCAACGAGCGCAACCCUUGUGUUUUAGUUGCAAACAGGUCAAGCUGUGCACUCUAGACAGACUGCCGUGGACAACACGGAGGAAGGUGGGGAUGACGUCAAAUCAUCAUGCCCCUUAUGAUCUGGGCUACACACGUGCUACAAUGGCCGGUACAACGGGCAGCGAAGGAGCGAUCCGGAGCGAAUCCUAAAAAGCCGGUCCCAGUUCGGAUUGCAGGCUGAAACUCGCCUACAUGAAGUUGGAGUUGCUAGUAAUCGCGAAUCAGAAUGUCGCGGUGAAUGCGUUCCCGGGUCUU